rnacentral:rRNA from 1 species
UACGGAGGGAGCUAGCGUUGUUCGGAAUUACUGGGCGUAAAGCGCGCGUAGGCGGCUUUGUAAGUUAGAGGUGAAAGCCCGGGGCUCAACCCCGGAAUUGCCUUUAAGACUGCAUCGCUUGAAUCCGGGAGAGGUGAGUGGAAUUCCGAGUGUAGAGGUGAAAUUCGUAGAUAUUCGGAAGAACACCAGUGGCGAAGGCGGCUCACUGGAC